CACGUAGGGUGCGAGCGUUGUCCGGAAUUAUUGGGCGUAAAGAGCGUGUAGGCGGCCAGACAAGUCUGCUGUGAAAACUCGAGGCUCAACCUCGAGCUGUCGGUGGAAACUGUCUGGCUAGAGUCCGGAAGAGGAGAGUGGAAUUCCUGGUGUAGCGGUGAAAUGCGCAGAUAUCAGGAAGAACACCUAUGGCGAAGGCAGCUCUCUGGGACGGUACUGACGCUGAGACGCGAAAGCGUGGGGAGCGAACAGG
rnacentral:rRNA from 1 species